rnacentral:rRNA from 1 species
UACCAGCACCCCGAGUGGUCGGGACGAUUAUUGGGCCUAAAGCAUCCGUAGCCGGUUCUACAAGUCUUCCGUUAAAUCCACCUGCUUAACAGAUGGGCUGCGGAGGAUACUAUGGAGCUAGGAGGCGGGAGAGGCAAGCGGUACUUAGUGGGUAGGGGUAAAAUCCGUUGAUCCAUUGAAGACCACCAGUGGCGAAGGCGGCUUGCCAGAACGCACUCGACGGUGAGGGAUGAAAGCUGGGGGAGCAAACCGGAU